AUUGAACGCUGGCGGCAUGCCUUACACAUGCAAGUCGAACGGCAGCACGGGAGCAAUCCUGGUGGCGAGUGGCGAACGGGUGAGUAAUAUAUCGGAACGUGCCCAGUCGUGGGGAUAACGUAGCGAAAGCUACGCUAAUACCGCAUACGAUCUAUGGAUGAAAGCGGGGGAUCGCAAGACCUCGCGCGAUUGGAGCGGCCGAUAUCAGAUUAGGUAGUUGGUGAGGUAAAGGCUCACCAAGCCGACGAUCUGUAGCUGGUCUGAGAGGACGACCAGCCACACUGGGACUGAGACACGGCCCAGACUCCUACGGGAGGCAGCAGUGGGGAAUUUUGGACAAUGGGCGCAAGCCUGAUCCAGCAAUGCCGCGUGCAGGAUGAAGGCCUCGGUGUAACUGCUUUGUACGGAACGAACGGUAGAGCUCUAAUACAGUUGCUAAUGACGGUACCGUAAGAAUAAG
rnacentral:rRNA from 1 species